UACGUAGGCGCAAGCGUUGUUCGGAGUUACUGGGCGUAAAGGGUGCGUAGGCGGUUGUUUAAGUUUGGUGUGAAAUCUCCCGGCUCAACUGGGAGGGUGCGCCGAAUACUGAAUGACUAGAGUGCGGGAGAGGAGAGUGGAAUUCCUGGUGUAGCGGUGAAAUGCGUAGAUAUCAGGAGGAACACGGUGGUGUAGACGGCUCUCUGGACCGUAACUGACGCUGAGGCACGAAAGCGUUGGGUAGCAAACAGG
rnacentral:rRNA from 1 species